GCGGAAGUAGCUCAGUGGUAGAGUGCCACCUUGCCAAGGUGGAUGCCGCGGGUUCGAAUCCCGUCUUCCGCUCCA
rnacentral:tRNA from 1 species